GCUCAGAGUGAACGCUGGCGGUAGGCCUAACACAUGCAAGUCGAACGGCAGCACAGAGGAGCUUGCUCCUUGGGUGGCGAGUGGCGGACGGGUGAGGAAUACAUCGGAAUCUACUCUGUCGUGGGGGAUAACGUAGGGAAACUUACGCUAAUACCGCAUACGACCUACGGGUGAAAGCAGGGGAUCUUCGGACCUUGCGCGAUUGAAUGAGCCGAUGUCGGAUUAGCUAGUUGGCGGGGUAAAGGCCCACCAAGGCGACGAUCCGUAGCUGGUCUGAGAGGAUGAUCAGCCACACUGGAACUGAGACACGGUCCAGACUCCUACGGGAGGCAGCAGUGGGGAAUAUUGGACAAUGGGCGCAAGCCUGAUCCAGCCAUACCGCGUGGGUGAAGAAGGCCUUCGGGUUGUAAAGCCCUUUUGUUGGGAAAGAAAUCCAGCUGGCUAAUACCCGGUUGGGAUGACGGUACCCAAAGAAUAAGCACCGGCUAACUUCGUGCCAGCAGCCGCGGUAAUACGAAGGGUGCAAGCGUUACUCGGAAUUACUGGGCGUAAAGCGUGCGUAGGUGGUCGUUUAAGUCCGUUGUGAAAGCCCUGGGCUCAACCUGGGAACUGCAGUGGAUACUGGGCGACUAGAGUGUGGUAGAGGGUAGCGGAAUUCCUGGUGUAUCAGUGAGAUGCGUAAAGAUCGGGAGGAACAUCCAUGGCGAAG
rnacentral:rRNA from 1 species